rnacentral:rRNA from 1 species
AACGAACGCUGGCGGCGGGCCUAACACAUGCAAGUCGAACGGGACCUUCGGGUCUAGUGGCGGACGGGUGAGUAACGCGUGGGAACGUGCCCUUUGGUUCGGAAUAGCCCCGGGAAACUGGGAGUAAUGCCGGAUAAGCCCUACGGGGGAAAGAUUUAUCGCCAAAGGAUCGGCCCGCGUUGGAUUAGGUAGUUGGUGAGGUGAUGGCUCACCAAGCCGACGAUCCAUAGCUGGUUUGAGAGGAUGAUCAGCCACACUGGGACUGAGACACGGCCCAGGCUCCCACGGGAGGCAGCAGUGGGGAAUCUUAGACAAUGGGGGAAACCCUGAUCUAGCCAUGCCGCGUGAUCGAUGAAGGCCUUAGGGUUGUAAAGAUCUUUCAGUGGGGAAGAUAAUGACUGUACCCACAGAAGAAGCCCCGGCUAACUCCGUGCCAGCCGCCGCUGUAACAC